ACUCGAGUGGCGAACGGGUGAGUAACACGUGGGUGAUCUGCCCUGCACUUCGGGAUAAGCUUGGGAAACUGGGUCUAAUACCGGAUAGGAGCCAUCUUUAGUGUGGUGGUUGGAAAGUUUUUAGGUGUAGGAUGAGCUCGCGGCCUAUCAGCUUGUUGGUGGGGUAAUGGCCUACCAAGGCGGCGACGGGUAGCCGGCCUGAGAGGGUGUACGGCCACAUUGGGACUGAGAUACGGCCCAG
rnacentral:rRNA from 1 species